AUCUGCUACUUGCAGCUCCAGCAGAGGAGAGUGGAGGGAAAGGCAGAAUCUCUCCCUAAAACAACUGCCCAAAGGUCCCUCCUGGAGGGAAGGGAGGACCUGCCACAGAGACUACUGGAGAGGGAAGCAUUCCCUUCUCCCCCUCAUAUGAACUCUGGACUUUCAUAACCCCCUUUAUUUUUUGUUUGGACUACCCCAGCAGGGGAAAACCCUUGGACUGAGCUGGCUCAGGAAGAUGGGCCAUACCACAGGAACAGGCAGUUGCUGCCUGCUGCAAGUCAGACUAAGACAGCUACCACUUUGAAACCUAAAGCACUACAGCAGCUGUUACCAGAAGUGGAAUGGAACAAAGAAAAGGCACUUUGGAAGCCCAAGGGUGUUCUCCCUGCUGAGUAUCAAAAGCCUGCUGCAGUUGGAGACACAUGGUUUUCAUGUCUGAUACAAAAAGCCACAGAAGACUACACAAAAUAAAAUAUCAUUAAAAUAUAAAAUAGUUAAAACACUACUGGCACCUUGAAAAAGCAGAAAUCUCAAAUGGAGCAGAUCUUCUGUUUGGUAGAUGAUGUUUCCCAGCUGUGCUGCUUACCUUAUUUUGCAACAUUUGCUUCUGCCUUCCUCUCCUUCCAAACAGUCAUUCAUUAAUAUUAGCAUCAUGAAGACACACAGAUCUUGAUAAGAAGAUGGAGACACAAAAGGCAUAAAUCAAGGAGCUCAAAAGGCAAAAACACAAAGUGUGUGUUUCAGUC